UGAACGACUCUCGGCAACGGAUAUCUUGGCUCUCGCAUCGAUGAAGAACGUAGCGAAAUGCGAUACUUGGUGUGAAUUGCAGARUCCCGUGAACCAUCGAGUCUUUGAACGCAAGUUGCGCCCGAGGCUUUUGGCCGAGGGCACGUCUGCCUGGGCGUCACGC
rnacentral:rRNA from 1 species